rnacentral:rRNA from 1 species
CAGCAGCCGCGGUAACACGGAGGAUCCAAGCGUUAUCCGGAAUCAUUGGGUUUAAAGGGUCCGUAGGCGGUCUUGUAAGUCAGUGGUGAAAGCCCAUCGCUCAACGGUGGAACGGCCAUUGAUACUGCAGGACUUGAAUUAUUGGGAAGUAACUAGAAUAUGUAGUGUAGCGGUGAAAUGCUUAGAGAUUACAUGGAAUACCAAUUGCGAAGGCAGGUUACUACCAAUUGAUUGACGCUGAUGGACGAAAGCGUGGGUAGCGAACAGGAUUAGAUACCCCUGUAGUCCCUGUCUCUUAUAC